rnacentral:rRNA from 1 species
GGCGGACGGGUGAGUAACGCGUGGGUAACCUGCCUACAUACAGGGGGGACUAACAGUUGGAGACGGACUGCUAAGACCGCAUAACCCGCUAGUGUCGCAUGACACGGACGGAAAAUAUUUAUAGGUAGUGAGAUGGGCCCGCGUCUGAUUAGCUAGUUGGUAAGGUAACGGCUUACCAAGGCGACGAUCAGUAGCCGACUUGGAGAGAGUGAUCGGCCACAUUGGGACUGAGACACGGCCCAAACUCCUACGGGAGGCAGCAGUGGGGAAUAUUGGACAAUGGGGGAAACCCUGAUCCAGCCGACGCCGCGUGAGUGAAGAAGUAUUUCGGUAUGUAAAGCUCUGUCAGCAGGGAAGAUAAUGACAGUACCUGACUAAGAAGCCCCGGCUAACUACGUGCCAGCCGCCGC